rnacentral:rRNA from 1 species
GACGAACGCUGGCGGCGUGCUUAACACAUGCAAGUCGAACGGAAAGGCCCUGCUUUUGUUUGGUUCUCGAUUGGCGAACGGGUGAGUAACACGUGAGUAACCUGCCCUUGACUUUGUGAUAACUUCAGGAAACUGGGGCUAAUACCCGAUAUGAUCUUCUGCUGCAUGUUGGUGGUUUGUAAGUUUCGGCCUUUGGGUCUGGACUCGCUGCUUCUCCGCUUCUUAGUUGGGUAGUUGCUUUCCAAGGCUUUGACGGGUAGCCUGCAUGGGAGGGUUAACGGGCACAUUGGGACUGAGGUAGGGACCAGAAUCCUACGUGCAGCAGCAGUGGAGAAUAUUGCAGAGUGGGGGGGAGUGUGAUGCAGCAACGCCGCGUGCGGGAUGCCGGCCUUCGAGUUGUAAACAGAUUUCGCAUGUGACGAAGAGUGAGUGACGGUAAUGGGUCAAGAAGCACCGGCUAACUACGUG